rnacentral:rRNA from 1 species
AUUGAACGCUGGCGGCAGGCCUAACACAUGCAAGUCGAGCGGAUGAAGGGAGCUUGCUCCUGGAUUCCGCGGCGGACGGGUGAGUAAUGCCUAGGAAUCUGCCUGGUAGUGGGGGAUAACGUCCGGAAACGGGCGCUAAUACCGCAUACGUCCUGAGGGUGAAAGUGGGGGAUCUUCGGACCUCACGCUAUCAGAUGAGCCUAGGUCGGAUUAGCUAGUUGGUGGGGUAAAGGCCUACCAAGGCGACGAUCCGUAACUGGUCUGAGAGGAUGAUCAGUCACACUGGAACUGAGACACGGUCCAGACUCCUACGGGAGGCAGCAGUGGGGAAUAUUGGACAAUGGGCGAAAGCCUGAUCCAGCCAUGCCGCGUGUGUGAAGAAGGUCUUCGGAUUGUAAAGCACUUUAAGUUGGGAGGAAGGGCAGUAAGUUAAUACCUUGCUGUUUUGACGUUACCAACAGAAUAAGCACCGGCUAACUUCGUG